rnacentral:lncRNA from 1 species
UAGAAUCCAGCCAGUCAGAGAGCAAAUCCUUGGCUUCUUCCAGCAACACCUGAAGAGAAAGAAACAAAAAUCCAGGAGCGGGCCACACACUUCACAUGAGAACAUCUCGUGCAGCUGGUGUGAGCCCAUCAGUGCCCUGAAUUCAAAGGUGCUGGCCUUGACCUGUGAAGAGCCACCAUCUCCUAGGGAGACUGUGAUGCUUACACAGCUGGCUCGGCAGGGACAAAUACAAGACUCUACAAAUGGGCAGGUCUCACAUGAACUCAGAGGAGCAAAGCCGAGGGGACCGUGGGUGCAGAGGCAAAAAGAGGUGGGAGGGCCGAGGUGGGCCUGGUGAGCAUGUGCAGCCUACCUGAGCCGUGCAGGGCAGGGUUAUGGGCAGAGGCUGGGCAGGAGCACACAGUGUGUCACCUACAGCACAACCCCUUGGUGCAUUCAGGAAAAGAUUCAUGACGGAGACAGCCAGAGGUUAGGAGAGAUAGGCAGGGCACUGGUCCCAGAGGUCUCAAAAGCCCCAUCUCCCUGACGCCAUUGACUGAAGAUGCCAUCCCCACUUGACACACCAUGGAAUGGGAGUAAAAACCACCAAUCCCAGCAAAACAUGGCACCUGUGUGACCCAGGUCCUGACCACACACACUCUAGGCAUGAGACACGCCCCAACUGCACUCAUGUCAGAAAAGAGAAAUGUCUACCCUCCGCCAUCUUGGAGGGACCUAGAGUUCUCAAUGCACUGACGUGGACCUAGGACAGGGCGUGGCACCAAGCAGAUGGUCUGUGGCCUACUACGGGAACAGGAGGCAAAGAACCAAGGCUGGAGAGAAAAAGUGUAGGAAAAUGGCCUGGCAGACAGCGAGGACACAGGGUGGACAAAGCCACAACACAGACAGAGAAGGGGCACAGGGCCCACGUGGGCCAGGUUCCUGAUGCAAUCCCUGCCUACAGCUCCUGAAUCAAACAGAUGUGUUAAAUGUAUUGCAGGCCUGCAAGUGGCAAGGCACGUCUGCAGGAAUGAGCACACCCUCCCCGCCGCGGCAGGGCAUCCAGUAGGCAGACAAGCACCAAAAGCAGGGUGUGCGCUCUGGGGAGCAAAGGCUGCCAAGUCUGCUGCCCGGACGGACUCCCAAAUGACACGCAAUAGCAAGCAGGGACAGGCCAGCAAACCGGCCCAGCUGGAUCUGAAAAUAGAAGCAAACGGAACCUGCAGAGAUGAAAUCCAUUAACAGGCGAAACAGUCUUACCCAUCCUACGCAACCACCUUGAACAAACAGGGAAAUAUACACACUUCAAGAUAGACAAAAGCUGCUUCCCACCAAUACUUCUAAGAUAAUGUUUCCAAAACUUGCCUGAUGAUAGGACUGGAAUACUCAAUGUUGCUGGUCAAGCAUACAGAUCAACAAUCAAAAUGCAUAAAUACAAAAUGAUAAGAAGGUCUCUGCAGCAGAUCUAAGAUCUUUGUGGACCUAAGAUCGCUGCUGUGGAUCCCAAUGGCUCUGACUUCUGCGUGCAACUGCAGAAGCUGCAGGGACACCCCGUGGUGGACCUACCUGGCGUGCCCCAUGUGAGAUGCGUCAUAGACGGUUGGCCCACAGCAAUACCACGUCACCUUUUUCCCAUCUUGAGGUAUGAACACUUCCUUUGUUAGGAAUGAAGGAAUGACGAUCACAAGAAAUGCAAGAAACACUGCACAGGAUUACCAAAAACAGCAACAAACAUCACAGUGUGGUUUGUGUUUUGUGUAAACAAUUCAACAGAGACCAUUUUGUUUUACUGUGAAAAGUCACAGUCUCAGUGGGAGCCCAGUGAGAUGUACGGCACCUCCCACCAACUGAGCCCUGGGUGGGUGAAGCCUCUUCCUUCCUGGGGUUCUACUCAUCUAUGGAGGGAGGCGAUAAAGGGAAUCAAUGAUUUU